rnacentral:sRNA from 1 species
UCCACUCCCACAAUUACUUGGUAAUGAAAGAACAAAAGGAAGAACCCCAAAUUGGGACUCUCGCUCCAGUCUCCGGAUGGCGGCAUGCCCCAGGAAGCUCGAGAAGCCAUUCAUGGUGUAAUAACAAGAGGCAUCUUUUAUUAACGAGAUCUCAGGCCGACACCGAGGUCUCGGGCCGACAUGCCACGCAUCUCACGCAGGAGACAGAGGGCCGAUGAACCACGAACCUCUAAAGAAUCUCUGCCUACCAUGAGGAGGUGUUGUUGGAGGACGAAAUCUGAAAAUCAUGGCUGGGAAAAAGACUGUUUUAAUGAAUAAAGAUAUUUACAUAUCCAGAUAAUUUUUGUUCACUUUAGUUUACAAUAUGGCUUCAGUGAGCUGCAUAGUUCUCCUAAGCAAGGAGGUGGAUUUCAUCCUCCUUACCACUUUCACCCUUGCCUACCCCAGGGACUGUCUGACAAGACCUAAUAUCAGAUUCAUCAGUGAGUAAGAAUCCCGAUUCUACGCAAAGAAAUUGAAUUGGUUCUGUUUUUUUCAAGAGAUGAAAUUGCUUCUUGUGGUUAUGAAGGCAGGUCCAUUAAUGAACAUAAGAGGAAGGACCAUGGAAAGGAAUAUAUCUCUUACAUAUUCACAGAAGAUUAUGCCAAGCAGGAAUACUGCAUAUAAGACCAAAAUUUCACUGGAAGAACCUGACUGAGGAAGUGAAAAGGAAAAGAUGGGAAAUAGGAAAACAUUUGAAAAUAAGGCUGUUGACAGGCUGGAGAGGAAGGAGGAGAUUGAAAAUUUAAAUUGUGCUACCUGAAACAAUGUAUUUUCAUGGAUACAAAUAUGUCUUUGCCUAUUUAAAAAAGUACUAGUUACUAUGAGGUAUGAUUUAUCCAUGUC